rnacentral:rRNA from 1 species
AUACGAAAGGUGCAAGCGUUGUUCGGAUUUACUGGGCGUAAAGAGAGUGUAGGUUGUUUAUUAAGUCGGAUGUGAAAUCCCGGGGCUCAACCCCGGAACUGCAUUCGAUACUGAUAGGCUAGAGUUCGGGAGGGGUAAGCGGAAUUCCGUGUGUAGCAGUGAAAUGCGUAGAUAUACGGAGGAACACCUGAGGCGAAGGCGGCUUACUGGACCGAUACUGACACUGAGACUCGAAAGCGUGGGUAGCAAACAGGAUUAGAAACCCCAGUAGUCC